AUUGAACGCUGGCGGCAGGCCUAACACAUGCAAGUCGAACGAGUGGCGGACGGGUGAGUAAUGUCUGGGAAACUGCCCGAUGGAGGGGGAUAACUACUGGAAACGGUAGCUACUACCGCAUACCAUCAGAUGUGCCCCGAUGGGAUUAGCUAGUAGGUGGGGUAACGGCUCACCUAGGCGACGAUCCCUAGCGGGUCUGGGAGGAUGACCAGCAACACGGGAACUGGGAAACGGUCCAGACUCCAACGGGAGGCAGCAGGGGGGAAGAUUGCACAAUGGGCGCAAGCCUGAUGCAGCCAUGCCGCGUGUAUGAGGAAGGCCUUCGGGUUGUAAAGUACUUUCAGCGGGGAGGCGUUACCCGCAGAAGAAGCACCGGCUAACUCCGUGCCAGCAGCCGCGGUAAUUC
rnacentral:rRNA from 1 species